GGGUACGCAGUCGUUUAACGAGUUAGCAGUGUGUUUGUGUGUGUUUACGAUGUAUAAUUGUAAUAUUAUGCAUUUGAAUAACAGUGUUUGGAUAUAAAACUGGAAUGAAACUGGUGAGACUGCAUUUUCGAUUUCGUUAAAAUGUCGAAUGUACUCGAAUAACGCGAUUUUUUGUUGUACAAUUGAUGGAUUAAAUUUAAGUAAAGUGUCAGAGAAUUGUUCUUUAACUUUUCGAAGGAAAUCGAUGUUGAACUAAAAGGGUAAUUUCUUUGAUGAAUAAGUCGUUCUUUUGUUAGUCGAUCAAUGAAUUUCUAUCCACAAAGAAUUGCCUGCUUACAUUCAGUGCUUUAAAAUGGAAAAGAUGGAUAGCGAUGAAGAAAUGUGUCAAGAAUUUUAACAAGUCAUGGAAGCAAAUUAAAUUUUUCGAAACUAAACAUGGUUAUUUCACAACUUCGGAUUUGGCGGAAGCGUCAAAGCAGCGCCUCCUCUGACGAUGGAGCACCGGAAGUAGUGGUAGACACUGCAGACAAGCCUCCUACGAAGCGAGCCUGCCUCCAGGAGCAGUCACCAGUUACAGGAUAUACGUUUAAAGAAAACUGAGGAAUGGGGCUCUUACGCGUGGCUUCUGGCAAAGUGUCGUCCGUAUAUCGAAUUAAAUUGAUGACAUAUGUAGAUAAGUCCGAUAUUUGCAUUUCAGUAAAUAGCUUUAGAAAUCAGUAUUACAUUAUUGCAUUGUAUUUAUCUACUAGGUACAUAGUUUAUUCUACAUCCAUUACCUGUAGGUAGGCUAUAUAGGAAACACGGAUUUUCGUCAUUCUGUCAAUAAACUUGUCCACCGCGCCUUCUCCUGCAUAAAAUAUAACAAGAGUCACGCUCAACUUAACCAUACAGAUUCAAGUUCAAAUGAAAAACUUGAUUUUGAAUUAAUGGGUUGUCCAAACUUUAUUAUCCACUUUCAUUUAAGCAUAGUUCGUACUUCAUAACCAAGUGUUCACGUAUAUGAUAUGGGUGUGUAACGUAGAUAAAAAAACGUUAAUUUCUGGGUCAAGAUAUACUUACAAUAGAAGUCAAAAUGUCAACUACAGAGUAGGGCCUGUCCAGUUUAUAACGUAUUAAAGCAUUAAUAAGUGUGAAAUAACGUUGAUUAAAUGUAACACAUUUUGUAUUUAGUUUUUGUUCAAUAAAUAAUGUACUGGAAUUUCUUGAAUAUUUCUCCAGAUUAUUAUUUCCCACAAAUAGUGCAUGGCUCACGUACAUGUUCCAUGUUUGUCUGUUAAAGGUUAUGGUCACAAUUCAAGUUCGUAGGAAAGUGUUAUGUAUAAAGUCCUUGAACGGUUUUAAUAGGAUUUCCGUUAAUGAUCCCCAACAUGACCUACUCAUGCAUGUUCAAGUUUGAUAUAACAGUAUAAAGUCAAUAAGUAUAAAGUAAAUAAAAACAAUUUUUCGAGAUAUGCCUUUUACUGAGUAGAUUGUUGAAUGGUACAAAAUAUGCAUAGGCCAAGGUCCGAUUUAGAUAUAGCAGUGGGACGGGGAUAAGAGUGAAUGUACAAUGAUAUAUUUAGGUACGGUUACUGUUUUUGUAAGUAAUUUAGUUAAAAGGAUACUUCAAUUAAUUGUUAGUAAGGUAGUAAGUUUGAUUUAGUCCAUGAUUUGGUCAAAUAAGUCAGUUUGUUUAAUAUUUCGUUAGUUCUUAGAACUGUUUAUAAUUGCAAUAAAUUAUG